rnacentral:rRNA from 1 species
UACGUAGGGUGCAAGCGUUGUCCGGAAUUAUUGGGCGUAAAGAGCUUGUAGGCGGUUUGUCGCGUCUGCUGUGAAAAUCCGAGGCUCAACCUCGGACUUGCAGUGGGUACGGGCAGACUAGAGUGUGGUAGGGGAGACUGGAAUUCCUGGUGUAGCGGUGAAAUGCGCAGAUAUCAGGAGGAACACCGGUGGCGAAGGCGGGUCUCUGGGCCGAUACUGACGCUGAGGAGCGAAAGCGUGGGGAGCGAACAGG